rnacentral:rRNA from 1 species
GACGAACGCUGGCGGCGUGCUUAACACAUGCAAGUCGAACGGUGACGAGGAGCUUGCUCCUCUGAUCAGUGGCGAACGGGUGAGUAACACGUGAGCAACCUGCCCCAGACUCUGGGAUAACAGUUGGAAACAGCUGCUAAUACCGGAUACGAGACGGAGAGGCAUCUCUACCGUCUGGAAAGUUUUUCGGUCUGGGAUGGACUCGCGGCCUAUCAGCUAGUUGGUGAGGUAAUGGCUCACCAAGGCGACGACGGGUAGCCGGCCUGAGAGGGCGACCGGCCACACUGGGACUGAGACACGGCCCAGACUCCUACGGGAGGCAGCAGUGGGGAAUAUUGCACAAUGGGCGAAAGCCUGAUGCAGCGACGCCGCGUGAGGGAUGACGGCCUCGGUGGUAACGUACUUCUACGUCAGGAGGAAGACGAAGUAGACGGUACCGUACGUCGAGAAGAAGACGACCGGCCGUAACCUAACGUACGUCCGACGACGAGCCGCGGUACGUAACG